AGUGGCGGACGGGUGAGUAACGCGUGGGUAACCUGCCCUGUACACACGGAUAACAUACCGAAAGGUAUGCUAAUACGGGAUAACAUAAGAAAGUCGCAUGGCUUUCUUAUCAAAGCUUUUACGGUACAGGAUGGACCCGCGUCUGAUUAGCUAGUUGGUAAGGUAACGGCUUACCAAGGCGACGAUCAGUAGCCGACCUGAGAGGGUGAUCGGCCACAUUGGAACUGAGACACGGUCCAAACUCCUACGGGAGGCAGCAGUGGGGAAUAUUGCACAAUGGGCGAAAGCCUGAUGCAGCAACGCCGCGUGAGCGAUGAAGGCCUUCGGGUCGUAAAGCUCUGUCCUCAAGGAAGAUAAUGACGGUACUUGAGGAGGAAGCCCCGGCUAACUACGUGCCAGCAGCCGCGGUAAUACGUAGGGGGCUAGCGUUAUCCGGAAUUACUGGGCGUAAAGGGUGCGUAGGCGGUCUUUCAAGUCAGAAGUGAAAGGCUACGGCUCAACCGUAGUAAGCUUUUGAAACUGUAAGACUUGAGUGCAGGAGAGGAGAGUGGAAUUCCUAGUGUAGCGGUGAAAUGCGUAGAUAUUAGGAGGAACACCAGUUGCGAAGGCGGCUCUCUGGACUGU
rnacentral:rRNA from 1 species